UGGCCACUGCUCAUGAGCGUCACAUCCGAACAUCAACGAGGAGUAUCUCUGAUUUUGGAAGCUAAUGGACUAGAGCUAAAAUAAUCUGUCAGUGCUUGGGAUCCUACUCAGAUUAGUAUAAUGCAUGAAGAAUGACCUUGCCAAGAACUCUGCCAAGGUUCACACAUGAUUGACACCCAAGAUCAUGGUUUUAUGACCUUGUUAUGGCGGAUGAUCUUUCAUGUACUACUGUUUAUAGUAAUAUCUCUUGAAACUCAACUGAAGGGGAAGAUCUGAAGGUGAUGCUGUUCUUUUAUUUGGAUAUGUCAACGUAUACCGAUUCGUCAAA